GAUGAACGCUGGCGGCGUGCCUAAUACAUGCAAGUCGAGCGAACAGACGAGGAGCUUGCUCCUCUGAUGUUAGCGGCGGACGGGUGAGUAACACGUGGAUAACCUACCUAUAAGACUGGGAUAACUUCGGGAAACCGGAGCUAAUACCGGAUAACAUGUUGAACCGCAUGGUUCAACAGUGAAAGACGGUCUUGCUGUCACUUAUAGAUGGAUCCGCGCCGCAUUAGCUAGUUGGUAAGGUAACGGCUUACCAAGGCAACGAUGCAUAGCCGACCUGAGAGGGUGAUCGGCCACACUGGAACUGAGACACGGUCCAGACUCCUACGGGAGGCAGCAGUAGGGAAUCUUCCGCAAUGGGCGAAAGCCUGACGGAGCAACGCCGCGUGAGUGAAGAAGGUCUUCGGAUCGUAAAACUCUGUUAUUAGGGAAGAACAAAUGUGUAAGUAACUAUGCACGUCUUGACGGUACCUAAUCAGAAAGCCACGGCUAACUACGUG
rnacentral:rRNA from 1 species